rnacentral:lncRNA from 1 species
UGUCCGCGAAGUCCAGAAGAAGAGUAGAGAGUGAUUAGUAGCAAUGGCAAUAAGCAGGUGAUGGGAUGGUAUGAGGCUGGUGCCAACGGCGAGGGAGACAGAAGAGCAAGGCGACGUGGGUUCCCCAUAGCAUCCCGAAAACCAAGGCCGUCAUACCGCUGCUGGAAGACGGGCCAGUUCUUUACACAAAUGUCAGUCUACUCUUACGGGAACAGGGAGAGGAAAUAAUAAUCUUUGGAGUGUGUGUGUGGUGGGGGGAGCAUCGUGGGCCCCACGGUGGCCUGCAGUCUGCGGGCAGCGCUUUGGCUGGUCGGGCGGCCCCAGGGAGCCGCCGUAGUCGCCCGCCUCCUGCGACCUCACGUCUCCGUUGCCGGCAUCGCGCAGCCUCCGCAGCCUCCGAGGGCGACGUGGAAGACGCCCAGGAGCUCCGCGUCCCGUCGGAGGGAGCGCAGGGACCGCGUCGGGAGGCGGCAAAAUGUUCCCUCCGAGACGUGGAACGCGGUGGCCACGUGGAGCUGGGACGUGGAGGGCGACACGUGCGCCGCCGUCUGCAGGGUCCAGGUGAGGGAUGCCUGUCUUAGAUGUUAAGCCGAAAACAGGAGGAUUGUGUUUUGGGGGGGUGGGGGGUGGGGGUGAAAUGUAACCAUUCCUUCCACAACUGCUGCAUGUCUCUGUGGGUGCACCAGAAGAGUUGCCCUGUCUGCCAGCAGGACCGCGUGGUCCAAAGAAUCAGCCAAGGGCAGCGGUGGAGGUAUUCUUGGUGCAGUUGUGUGGAGCCCUGUGGGGUCUUGUUAUCGAGUGUCCUGUGAAGGCUAGAACUCUCCAGGGGGGCUAAGUCUUCUAAUAGGACGUGAUGGAUCUGUGGUCCUUGAGACUCAUCAAAGCCAUGGUUUAGCCUUUUUUCAGGUCCCCCCCCCCCCGGAAAUUCUCUACAAUUAAGAAGAUAAUUUGGAGUUCCCUUCAUGGCUCAGUGGUUAACAAACCCGACUAGGAUCCAUGAGGAUGGGGGUUCGAUCCCUGGCCCCUCUCAGUGGGUUAAGGAUCUGGCAUUGCCCUGAGCUGUGGUAUAGGUCGGAUCCCGAGUUGCUGUGGCUGUGGUGUAGGCCGGCAGCUGUAGCUCUGAUUCGACCUGGGAACUUCUAUAUGCUGCAGGUGCAGCCCUAAAAAAAAAAAAAAAAAGGUAAUUUAUUAAGGAUGGUCUUUGAUACCUGUGUGGUACUUGUAUCUAACCCUGCAUAGAAGCACUGUUAAAAAAGAGAACUAUACAUUGAACAGCUUUUGUAACUUACUGACUGAUAUCCAAGGGGCCAUGGAAGCAGUUCCAUUUAGAAGCAGGCUUUUUGCAUGCUUAUGGUUGAUCAGCUUUUUUAAAAAAGAUAAUGUUAUAGUAACAAGUCAAGUGCAGUUUAUUUUUUUUUAUUUUUUUCUUCCUCCUAGAUUCUUUAUUUUUUUUCAUUUUUUAUUACUCAAAUGAAUUUAUCACAUUUGUAGUUGUAUAAUGAUCAUAACAAUCUGAUUUCACAGGAUUUCCAUCCCACAGCCCAGGCACAUGCCCCCACCCCCCAAACCGUCUCCUCUGGAGACCAUAAGUUUUUCAAUGUCUGUGAGUCAGCAUCUGGUCUGCAAAGAAGUUCCGUCUGUCCUUUUUUCAGAUUCCACAUGUCAGUGAAAGCAUUUGAGGUUGGUGUCUCAUUGUAUAGCUGACUUCACUUAGCAUGAUAGUUUCUAGCUCCAUCCAUGUUGCUAAAAAUGCUGGUAUUUCAUUCUUUUUGAUGGCUUAGUAAUAUUCCAUUGUGUAUCUGUACCACAUCUCUGGAUCCACUCCUCUGUCGAUGGACAUUUAGGUUGUUUCCAUGUCUUGGCUAUUGUAAAUAGUGCUGCAAUGAACAUUGGAGUACAUGUGUCUUUGCGAGUCGUGGUUUUCUCUGGAUAGAUGCCCAGGAGUGGGAUUGCUGGAUCAAAUGGUAGUUCUAUGUUUAGUUUUCUGAGGAAUCUCCAUACUGCUUUCCACAGUGGUUGCACCACUUUACAAUCCCACCAAUAGUGUACUAGAAUCCCUUUUUCUCCACGCCCUCUCCAGCACUUAUUGUUUGUAGACUUUUGGAUGAUGGCCAUUCUGGCUGGUGUAAGGUGGUACCUCAUUGUGGUUUUGAUUUGCAUUUCUCUAAUAAUUCAAGUGCAGUUUAAAAUCCAACUCUUAUCUUUAAUCUGCUCCUAAUAUUUAUUUUUGGCAGAGAGGAGGAUGAUUCACGAAAUCUUUAUUUGAUAUAAUGAGAAUUUUAGGCUUGGACCAGUGAAUAUGGUAAAAUAAAACAACCUUCAGUGUGUAGGAGGAUUUCAGUUGUCUUUUGGGUUAUCAUCCUUUGUCUUUGGCUCAUCAAGAAAACCUAGAUCUCCACUCACCUCACUCUUCGGUCAUUGAGUGGUAAACGACAGAAGUAUUUUCAAGUUCUGGUUGUAUUGUUUUGUAAUUGAACUGUUUUGGGUGGAAUGUUAAUGAGGGGAAAAUGUUACCAUGGUAGCAUUGGCUCAAAAAGUUUAUCAGACAAUGUUUUAAUAAAUGGUUUAAUCUGUUUCCCAAAAAAAAGGCUUCAGUAUAAAAACUUCAAAUUUAGGUAGUGGCUCUUGUGCAUUCUCGCAUUCUAGAUGUAUGACCACAGGCAAAUUAUUUAAACAUUGUGAACCGUAGUUUCCCCAUAUGGUCAAUGAGUUUAAUUCUACCUGUUUCUGAAGUUGUUGGAGGGUGUGGUAGACACUGCUGAUUGUCCCAAAAUAUCUUUUUUCCUCUUCCUCCAGAGUGAAAUAAACUUUGGUCAAGCCAAAGCCCAUCAGAUUUUGGGCUUUUUGCACUUAGAUGUGUCAUGUGACAAAAUUCUAACAAACGGGACCUAAGAGCAGAGCUGAGUGGGUGUCCAUGAACCUUCCUUGAGAGAGAUGCGGCACCUGCUCUCUUUCCGUCUCUCUUUUUGCUUCUCUGCUCCCACAUUACCACAUGGAAGGAAAUGUUUCCCUGGACCAUGCGGGCGAGGGCUAUCCCUUAGGGAUGAUGGAAUUGUGAGCAGGAGGCACUUAAAAUCCCUAAAGAAUCCAAGGAGACACCCAGGCCUGAAUAUUGUUUUUCUGUUUUAUUUCUGUUUAUUGAUUUUUUUAUAAGAGAGAGACAUCAACAGAGAAAGACUUUCUCUCUUACUGGUAACCUGGCCUUGUUACCUGUUAGCUCAAGAUUAGAAGUAAUAUGUGUGAAAUGCCCAGACAUUGUAAGCCGUCACAGAUGUUUUUGUUUUCUGUGCAUCUCUCCCACAAAAGACAAACAAACAAACAAACAAACCUUUGUAAUUCUGCCCUCCAGUUAUAGAGAAUUGAAUUGUAUUCUUAAAUUUUUGUUUUUCUCAGGCUCUGGCAAACUGGAAACUAUCCAGGAGAAAAUUCUCAAGGUAGUGAGCAGGCCUGAAAACCACACACACAGGGAGCAGUUAAUUACAGGAGUUGUGUUGCGUUUGCUAUUUUUAAAGUAAGUGUGACUCGAGCUUGGGAGUCUCAGGUGUAUGGGAUCCCGUGAGUUCAUGUGUUCCCAUGGGACUGGGCCUGGCUUAUCCACAGCGCUGCUGGAUGCCAUGCUAUUACCAUGGAACUAGGGGUUCCAGGGGAAGUUGUGGCAACUGGGCAUUGUCUGCACAGCUGCCGACUGGGCGAGGGGUGAGAGGGGUCCUGCCUGCUGACCUCUACCCUGAUGGGACCAGCCGGAGAUCAGCAGUUUUCACCGUGUUGCCCAGUGGGCCAUGGGCCUGGGAAGGUGUCUUGGGAGCUGCCUCAAAGGUGAGGCAGGACUAGUGAACUGCUUCCUCCAUGAGGUUCUGGACAACACAACUUUCGGGAAAGGAUUGGGGGCUUAAGAGUUUCCCACAUCUAAAUGUAGAAAGUCACUUGGAGGCCAGGAAACCGGAGGUGGAGACUAAGAGAGAAGCAACACUGAUUGCCAUUCCCGUUUGCUUGCUUGGCCUCAGAGGUGCCAAGUCUAUUUGUAUUUACUUGCAGCUCACAGCCGGCCCCCUUCAGAAAGGAGUCGGAGCCACGCACAAAGUGCGACGGAAGCGUCUGUCUAUGGAAGCACAUGGUGACGCUGCUAACUGUGUGUCUGUGUCCACAUACGAGGAGACUGUGUGCUGGGGAAUGGGUCAGACCGCUGGCUCUGUGUUGGGUCGGCAGUAAUACUUCACCCCAGGGCUUGGAACAGUUGCAAGGAGGCUCAAAAGAAUAACGUUCACGUGGAUGGCUUCUCGGUUUGUUCUUACCCAAGGGACAGAUGCCCCUAGGGGACACCUGUGAUGGCCUCACACUUUGACCGCCCCUCAUAGUUUGCCUGAAUGGGUGUCAUAUUGACCUGCUUGUGUCCCUGGGGAGUUGCUUUUCCUUCCGUUCCUCCCUUAUAUAGUGUGGUCCAGCCAUUCAGGGUGACUUGCAAUGAUCAGAAAGUGACCUGGUCAUCUGCCUCGGCUUCAUUUCUGCUCCCGAAGCCUCUCUCCUCCUCUGCUUAGCACAUGUCUGCCAUCGCACUUGUCACAGCAGAGCCUUUUGUCUGUUUGUCUCCCCCCACUAGGCUCAGACAGCUUUUGGCUAGUUUUUUUUUUUUUUUUUUUUAAACCACUUUACCCCACUAAAAACUUGGCACCUAGAAGGUGAUUAAAAAUGUUUCUUGGAGUUCCCGCUGUGGCACAAGAUCAGUGGUGUCUGUGCAGCACUGUUCGAUCCCUGGCUGGCACAGUGGCUUAAGGAUCCUGUAUUGCCACAGCUGUAGCGUAGGGCACAGCUGCGGCUUGGAUCUGAUCCCUGGCCUGGCAACUCCAUAUGCUACAGAAUGAGCAAAAAGGAAAAAGAAAGUUUCUUGACCAGUUGAGAUAAUUCUCCAGCCUCCCAGCCAUUGUCAUGAAGCUUGAGUAUCCUUUACCCUCAGAGACCUUUGCUCACUGCAAGGGCAGCCACCUAAAUCCAGCAAAAGUCUAGGACGCUAUUGCAAUGCUCCAGGUGGUCUCUAGCUGGUUGGUGUACAGCUGCCUUGUCAGACAGGCAGCCAAGUGGAGAGGAGACUCCUUGGAAGUUGGGCCACUUCUAAGGGACUGCCAACUUGCUGUGUGACUUGGAGCAAGUCUCCUAAACUUUUUUGCCUUACUUUCCAGACUCUUUCAUACCCAACCACAUAGUAAAUCUCAUAGUAAAUCAGGGAGGGCUCAUUAUAAAAAAUAAUAAUAAUAAAAUUGCAUCAAAAAAAUAAAAGUACUCUGAAAACAC